GAGUUUGAUCCUGGCUCAGGACGAAGGUGGCGGCGUGCUUAACACAUGCAAGUCGAACGGGAUGAUUUAGAAGCUUGCUUUUAGAGAAUCUAGUGGCAAACGGGUGAGUAACACGUAGACAACCUGCCGACAGGAUGGGGACAACAUUCCGAAAGGAAUGCUAAUACCGAAUGAAGCGGAGGAGAGGCAUCUCUCUUCCGUGAAAGAUGGCCUCUGAACAUGCUAUCGCCUGUCGAUGGGUCUGCGUCUGAUUAGCUCGUUGGUGAGGUAACGGCUCACCAAGGCGACGAUCAGUAGCCGGUCUGAGAGGAUGAACGGCCACAUUGGGACUGAGACACGGCCCAGACUCCUACGGGAGGCAGCAGUGGGGAAUCUUCCGCAAUGGGCGCAAGCCUGACGGAGCAACGCCGCGUGAGUGAAGAAGGUCUUCGGAUCGUAAAGCUCUGUUGAUGGGGACGAACGUGCGAAGGGUGAAUAAUCCUUUGCAAUGACGGUACCUAUCGAGGAAGCCACGGCUAACUACGUGCCAGCAGCCGCGGUAAUACGUAGGUGGCGAGCGUUGUCCGGAAUCAUUGGGCGUAAAGGGAGCGCAGGCGGGCAUGUAAGUCUUUCUUAAAAGUGCGGGGCUCAACCCCGUGAUGGGAAAGAAACUAUAUGUCUUGAGUACAGGAGAGGAAAGCGGAAUUCCCAGUGUAGCGGUGAAAUGCGUAGAUAUUGGGAGGAACACCAGUGGCGAAGGCGGCUUUCUGGACUGCAACUGGCGCCGAGGCUCGAAAGCCAGGGGAGCGAACGGGAUUAGAUACCCCGG
rnacentral:rRNA from 1 species